GCUCUCUUGGGCAGCACCUACACAAACUGGAAUGAUGCAGAGCAGGCCAGCAUGCCCCCGGGGCAAGGAGGACAGGCACAUUCGUGGAGUGGUCUGCAUUUUU
ensembl:snRNA U6 U6 spliceosomal RNA